GUGCUAUUGCACUUAGGCAGCACAUACACUAAAAUUGGAACAACAGAGAAGAUUAGCAUGCCCCUGCGCAAGGAUGACACACAAAUUUCUGUGGUAGGGGGAAAUAAU